AAUUCAAGUAACAAUAUGGCAAAACUCGGAACAACAGGCAGUAUGCCACGUCAUUUAACCUAUUCCAAAUGUAAUAUGCCACUAUUCGGAGCUCUCGUCGAUUAUAUGGAGACGUGUCUCGAAUAUCUUCGCGUAAAGAGCUUCGCAAAUGCUGAAAUGCUCAAUUUCCAACUCAACAGGCCUGCGUUGACCGAUACAUUUAUUUCCACCGUCUGUUUUGUACUUGGUUUGAUGAGUAACGUGAAGUUGGAAGUUUUGACCUUCGAGGACGAAUCGCUGCCGAAUGAUUUGCACUUUAUGCUUAUGAGCAAAGAUGAUAAGCUUUAUAUCGAUGAUAUUGAUGUUUCAAAGGUCGUUUGGUGUAUCGAAGCUUCAGACACGCUCGUCAUUUUAAUCAGCACCUUGCUUAUAUGGAACUCGUCCUAUAUGGGUUCUCCAGUGCGCGAGUAUAUGUACCUGCCGUGGCUGGGCGCGACGCUCCGUGGGCUGAUGCUGCGACAGGCGCCCACUGCUGGGGCGCUCGCCUACACCAUGGCUGUUGUCAACGGGAGCGUCAGUCCGCUGUUUGCGACGGCCUUUACUUUCCUCUUUUUGCUGGAAGCUCGUGUGUGGCUGGAGAUAGCGCGUUUGGUGCGAGCGCGCUGGGGCCGACGAGACCACUGCGAAGUAUCUCGUCCCUGCCACUACGAGGUGCAGACACUGUGGAGCAACGAUGACGUGCAGAGCGUUGAAGUUGGCAACUACGUCUACUAGACUUCCUUUCAAAGGUCACAGCACACAUAUCAACGCGGAAAGGAAUUGUCACCGAGCAGUGGCGCAGGUAGCAGCUGGAUGCCGGAGGCUCAAGACUGUGUUGUUUGGAAGUCCUUAAGAAAUGUCUAUGUCCAGCAGUAGACGUCCAUCGGCUGAUAAUGAUGAUGAUGAAAGCAAUUCAUCUUAAGUAGGCAUUACAAGAAUAACUACUUGGGAAUAAUUCCUAGGUUACGAUGAUCAAAGGGAAGAGAAAUUGGAAUUCAACAAGCACUUGUCAGCAACUAAAUCCUGGUAUGCCCGAAUAUCUU
rnacentral:misc_RNA from 1 species